UACGUAGGCAGCAAGCGUUGUUCGGAGUUACUGGGCGUAAAGGGUGUGUAGGCGGUUGGGUAAGUGUGGUGUGAAGUCUCCCGGCUUAACUGGGAGGGUGCGCUACAAACUGUCUGACUAGAGUGUGGGAUGGGUAAGUGGAAUUCCUGGUGUAGCGGUGAAAUGCGUAGAUAUCCGGAGGAACACCAAAGGCGAAGGCAGUGUCCUGGGGAGUACCUGACGCUCAGGUGCGAAAGCCAGGGGAGCGAACGGG
rnacentral:rRNA from 1 species